ensembl:snRNA U6 U6 spliceosomal RNA
UCGCUUUGGCAGCACAUCUACUAAAAUUGGAACGAUACAGGUGAGAUGAGCUUGGUCCCAGAGCAAGGAUGGCAUGUAACUUUGUGAAGCAUUCCAUAUUUUU